UAGGGAAUAUUGGUCAAUGGACGCAAGUCUGAACCAGCCAUGCCGCGUGGAGGAUUAAGGCCCUCUGGGUUGUAAACUCCUUUUAUCUGGGAAGAAGUGUACUUUUUCUUGAGUACUUGACGGUACCAGAGGAAUAAGCACCGGCUAACUCCGUGCCAGCAGCCGCGGUAAUACGGAGGGUGCAAGCGUUAUCCGGAUUCACUGGGUUUAAAGGGUGCGUAGGUGGGCAGGUAAGUCAGUGGUGAAAUCUCCGGGCUUAACCCGGAAACUGCCGUUGAUACUAUUUGUCUUGAAUAUUGUGGAGGUAAGCGGAAUAUGUCAUGUAGCGGUGAAAUGCUUAGAUAUGACAUAGAACACCAAUUGCGAAGGCAGCUUACUACACAAUCAUUGACGCUGAGGCACGAAAGCGUGGGGAUCAAACA
rnacentral:rRNA from 1 species